AUAAUCAAAAUUUAAUAUGGCUGGCGAUAAAGGUAAAGAGAAGUUUAAAGGAACAAACAUUAGAGAGCGUCUUGUCAAUUAAAGUGACCGCUACAGUCGCCGAAACAAGAAAAGGAAUAAUGACUUUAUUAAAAUACGCACUCAACAGAUCAAAUGGUGGUGGUCGGCGCGUAAAAGGCGAUUUACCCGAUAUAUAACAUUCAUACUUUUUCCUAAUUGUUCUGGAACUAUUAAUAAUAGUUAUUAUUGAUAAAUAUAUUACAGAUAAAUAAAACUUUUUUUUUUUCAAACAUUUUACUUUAUUUGCAUUUUAUAUAAAGUCCCUUGAAGCAAUUUAGUGGUAUCUGAUUAAUAUACUUGAAAUAUUAAUAUUAUAAUACAUAAUUCUCUGCGCAAA